ACUCCCAAAGUCGUGAAAAAGAUGUAAAAUUGGUUGAUGUUUUCGCCGCGACGAUUCGAAAUGAAACGAAGAAAUGAGAAGAAGCGAAGGUCCUCGUAGAGGUGAAUGAGGAUUUUACCACUAUGGACAUUUGAACAGUAUGCAGAAGAAGACGGAUCUGGAACUAGAAAGCAAGGCUCUGACUGGUCUACUACAGCAAGGAAUGUGCCAGCGGCCAAUCUGAUGAACAUGUGACAGAAGAUUUGGCAAUGGGUGAAGAAAUACUGAGAUUGAAAUGCAACCACAGGUGGAGGCUUCAACCAAACUUUUCAGACAGACAUGAGAUACAAAGUUACACAAGUAUAAAUGGUUGAAGGUUUAGGAGAGCCAGACAAGAAGGCAGGAAAUGUGAUGUCACUUUUACUUCAAUGAACAUGGACAGCAGCAGGAGCAACAACAGCAUCAGCAGCUGAAACUACAACUGCAGUAAGAGAUGCAACAACCACACCGACAACAUCAACAGCAGCAGGAGCUCCAACAACCAUGCAGGGAACAUCGGGCGCAACAUAAAUAACUUCAUUAAGAGAUGCAACAACCACAGUGGUAAACAUCAACAGCAGUAGCAACAACGACAGUAGAAACAAAGCCAACAGCAAGGAUUCUAACAAGCAAUCAUACAAGCAACAACACAAGCGACAACAUCAAUAGAUGCAUCAGGAGAUGCAACAGCCACACUCGUAAACAGCAGCAGUAGCA